rnacentral:rRNA from 1 species
AAUAUUGCACAUUGGGGGAAACCCUGAUGCAGCGACGCCGCGUGAGCGCAGAAGGCCUUCUGGUAGUAAAGUUCUGUCCUAAGGGAAGAAACGGACGGUACCUUAGGAGGCACCCACGGCCUAAUCCGUGCGAGCAGCCGCGGUAAUACGUAGGAGGCUAGCGUUAUCCGGAAUUAUUGGGCGUAAAGGGUGCGUAGGCGGCCUUUUAAGUCAGAUGUGAAAGGCUACGGCUUAACCGUAGUUAGCAUUUGAAACUAAAAGGCUUGAGUGCAGGAGAGGAGAGUGGAAUUCCUAGUGUAGCGGUGAAAUGCGUAGAUAUUAGGAGGAACACCAGUGGCGAAGGCGACUCUCUGGACUGCAACUGACGCUGAGGCACGAAAGCGUGGGGAGCGAACAG